GGCCUCGUAGCUCAGUUGGCUAGAGCGUCGACUGUACUAAAGCCUUCCCCUGGCUGGCAUGGGUUCAAAUCCCACUGAGGUUG
rfam:Schistocephalus solidus strain NST_G2 genome assembly, scaffold: SSLN_scaffold0002032